UACAGAGACUGCAAGCGUUAUUCGGAUUCACUGGGCGUAAAGGGUGCGCAGGCGGCCGUGUGUGAGGCGUGAAAGCCCGGGGCUUAACCCCGGAAUUGCACCUCAAACUACAUGGCUAGAGCAUUGGAGAGGGUAGCGGAAUUCACGGUGUAGCAGUGAAAUGCGUAGAUAUCGUGAGGAACACCAGAGGCGAAGGCGGCUACCUGGACAAUUGCUGACGCUCAGGCACGAAAGCGUGGGGAGCAAAAGGG
rnacentral:rRNA from 1 species